CACGUAGGGCGCAAGCGUUGUCCGGAAUUAUUGGGCGUAAAGAGCUCGUAGGCGGUCUGUUGCGUCCGCUGUGAAAACCCGGGGCUCAACUCCGGGCCUGCAGUCGAUACGGGCUGGCUUGAGUGCGGUAGGGGAGACUGGAAUUCCUGGUGUAGCGGUGAAAUGCGCAGAUAUCAGGAGGAACACCGGUGGCGAAGGCGGGUCUCUGGGCCUGCACUGACGCUCAUGCACGAAAGCGUGGGGAGCAAACAGG
rnacentral:rRNA from 1 species